UUUUAAACAUUUUCUAAUGUUAGUGUAUUUCUGCAGGUAUUGGGAAACCAUCAACAAGGCUGAAUGAAAACAUUCCAGCAUGGCUCUCUUGGAAUCAUUCAAAGUAUCUCUAGUAACCCCUUAUCUAUCUUACUUAUCUGAGGCAUUAGUGCACAUAUGUCUGCAAUCAAGACUGGAUGUAUAUUUAAAAACCUUUCAGGGAUAAAAUAAGAUCCACAGAAUUGACUGUCACAAUAACUUUGCAGAAAGAGAAAAGCAUUAGACAGGACCAAGUAGAAGGACACAAGAAAAGACACACUGAAUCUCCACAAAGAAUGUUGAGAACAGGUGAUCAGAGAAAGCAGAGGGAAACUUUGUGAAUGAUGAUCAAAGAAUAAAGGAAACAUUAACUUGAAGUUGACAUGAAGACUGCUAAACAGACUAUAGUAUUCUCAAAACUACAGAAGCUAAACACCAUACAGUAGAGUUUUCGACUGGAUGAUAAUACAUACAAUUGAAAAUUUGUUUUCGUGAGCAGUGGAAGUAGAUGACAGGUUACAAUGUGAGUAACAAGAUGAAGGGAAAGGAGGAGACCAAUACACAGUAUAAAGGUAUUGCUGCCCUGGAACAUUGUGCUAAGCUUUAGCUAUUCUCCAUGACCCUUCCAUGCCUUCAAAACAAGGAUGACAUUGGUGACUUAAAAUUUCAGCUUCUACAGCCAGCAGGAGGUACAAACUCAACUGCUUCUGAAAUUCAAGGUCUGUGUGGCACCUCUGAGAAAACAUUUCCCAGAAGUCUUCACCUUGGUCAUACUGGUCUCUCCUUAAUCACGGCUGAUUCUUCAACACCAGCUUGCCAUUAUCACUGGUUAUAUGAAGAGUUUCACUUUAACUGUUCAGGAAUCAAGACACCGGUGACCCUGCUAUAGUUUUUAAGAGGCUCUAAAACUUCAUUCUGGAUCCUCCCAAACCAGGCCUUCAUCAUCUGCUCUGCCAUUAGCAUGCCUGUCUUCCAAGGGAUUACAGAACAACCUGCUGAGCUCUAAGAACAAAAAUAGACUUUCCAGCUAAACCCCGUGAGUCCUCCCAAAUCCUCCGACAAUCCUCCCAAAACACAUGUUUGGGUCUGUCACA